ACCUGAAGCAAGGAUCCUGUUUCUAAGAGAUGAUGUCUGAUUCAGGCAAAUCUAGGCAACAUCCUGCGCCACCUGUUCUCUGGGAGCCUGCUAGGGCCACCACACCUCAACCUUCUUCUUAUAAGGGCCUCAGAAGCUCAGGGUGUUAUCACAACAAUUAAGGAGACCUUUCUCUGAGAACUACAGCUGCCAAAGACAAACAUAGAAGGUAAGAAAACAAGAAGAAGAUGGCUGUCUGCAAACCAAAUC